UACGUAGGGGGCAAGCGUUGCCCGGAUUUAUUGGGCGUAAAGAGCGUGUAGGCGGCCAGACAGGUCCGUUGUGAAAACUCGAGGCUCAACCUCGAGAUGUCGAUGGAAACCGUCUGGCUAGAGUCCGGAAGAGGAGUGUGGAAUUCCUGGUGUAGCGGUGAAAUGCGCAGAUAUCAGGAAGAACACCUAUGGCGAAGGCAGCACUCUGGGACGGUACUGACGCUGAGACGCGAAAGCGUGGGGAGCGAACAGG
rnacentral:rRNA from 1 species